rnacentral:rRNA from 1 species
UACGUAGGUGGCAAGCGUUGUCCGGAUUUACUGGGCGUAAAGGGCGUGCAGGCGGUUUGUUAAGUGCAGGGUGAAAGCUCCCGGCUCAACUGGGAGAGGUCCUUGCAUACUGGCAAACUCGAGGGAGGCAGAGGAAAGUGGAAUUCCCGGUGUAGUGGUGAUAUGCGUAGAUAUCCGAAGGAACGCCGGUGGCGAAAGCGACGGGCUGGAUCUCUUCUGACGCUGAGGCGCGAAAGCCAGGGGAGCAAACGGG